rnacentral:rRNA from 1 species
GACGGACGCUGGCGGCGUGCUUAACACAUGCAAGUCGAACGGAAAGGCCCCAGCUUGCUGGGGUCCUCGAGUGGCGAACGGGUGAGUAACACGUGGGUGAUCUGCCCUGCACUCUGGGAUAAGCCUGGGAAACUGGGUCUAAUACCGGAUAGGACCGUGCUUUAGUGUGUGCGGUGGAAAGUUUUUCGGUGCAGGAUGAGCCCGCGGCCUAUCAGCUUGUUGGUGGGGUAAUGGCCUACCAAGGCGGCGACGGGUAGCCGGCCUGAGAGGGUGUACGGCCACAUUGGGACUGAGACACGGCCCAGACUCCUACGGGAGGCAGAAGUGGGGAAUAUUGCACAAUGGGCGCAAGCCUGAUGCAGCGACGCCGCGUGGGGGAUGACGGCCUUCGGGUUGUAAACCCCUUUCGGCAGGGACGAAGCUUUUGUGACGGUACCUGCAGAAGAAGCACCGGCUAACUACGUG